UGAGGAAUAUUGGUCAAUGGACGAGAGUCUGAACCAGCCAAGUAGCGUGAAGGAUGACUGCCCUAUGGGUUGUAAACUUCUUUUAUACGGGAAUAAAGUUAGCCACGUGUGGCUUUUUGUAUGUACCGUAUGAAUAAGGAUCGGCUAACUCCGUGCCAGCAGCCGCGGUAAUACGGAGGAUCCGAGCGUUAUCCGGAUUUAUUGGGUUUAAAGGGAGCGUAGGCGGGUUGUUAAGUCAGUUGUGAAAGUUUGCGGCUCAACCGUAAAAUUGCAGUUGAUACUGGCGACCUUGAGUGCAACAGAGGUAGGCGGAAUUCGUGGUGUAGCGGUGAAAUGCUUAGAUAUCACGAAGAACUCCGAUUGCGAAGGCAGCUUACUGGAUUGUAACUGACGCUGAUGCUCGAAAGUGUGGGUAUCAAACAGGAUUAGAUACCCUGGUAGUCCACACAGUAAACGAUGAAUACUCGCUGUUGGCGAUAUACGGUCAGCGGCCAAGCGAAAGCAUUAAGUAUUCCACCUGGGGAGUACGCCGGCAACGGUGAAACUCAAAGGAAUUGACGGGGGCCCGCACAAGCGGAGGAACCUGUGGUUUAAUUCGAUGAUACGCGAGGAACCUUACCCGGGCUUAAAUUGCAACCGAAUAUGGCGGAAACGCCAUAGCUAGCAAUAGCGGUUGUGAAGGUGCUGCAUGGUUGUCGUCAGCUCGUGCCGUGAGGUGUCGGCUUAAGUGCCAUAACGAGCGCAACCCUUGCCGAUAGUUACUAACAGGUUAUGCUGAGGACUCUGUCGGGACUGCCAUCGUAAGAUGUGAGGAAGGUGGGGAUGACGUCAAAUCAGCACGGCCCUUACGUCCGGGGCUACACACGUGUUACAAUGGGGGGUACAGAGGGCUGCUACCACGCAAGUGGAUGCCAAUCCCAAAAACCUCUCUCAGUUCGGAUUGAAGUCUGCAACCCGACUUCAUGAAGCUGGAUUCGCUAGUAAUCGCGCAUCAGCCACGGCGCGGUGAAUACGUUCCC
rnacentral:rRNA from 1 species